CACUUCGGACACAAAUCUCUUACUCAUAAAUUUCUUACAAAUGUCAAGUACACUCUGUUUUUUUUCUAUUAUUCUCUUAGUUAUGUUUCUUCCACAUGAGUUCUCUUUCACUCAACUAAUCAACUUGUCUAUCCGAGAGAAGCAAACAUAAAAAGCAUCAUCUUACAGAGGAAAAAACAAAGCCAGCCUUUGAAGUUUUCCAGACACUGACUGAGUUUCCCGUCUUCUGCUUGGAAGUUACUCCUAGACUCUGUAUUUUUCAGAUUUUAUUUUCGGAUGAAAGAUGGAUGUAUCAUUUAUUAUCUAAAGAGUAUCAUAGAUAUAUGUGUAGAGCGUAGAUGUGUAUGUGUAGAUAAUGUAGAGCGUAGAUGUGUAUUUGUAGAGUAGAUCUAUCAUAGAUGUAUGUGUAGAGAGAGAGAAGGAGAGAGGAAGGAGAGAGAGAGGAGGGGAAGGAGAGAGAGGGGGGAAGGGGAGAGAGAAUCGUGGCAACGGUUGAAGCCAGAGAUGUUCUCUGUCUACCCGGAUGAUAUCAAUAUUGAUAGGGAAUAAUUUUCAUCAUUCUCUUAUUCCUAAAAAUUUAAAUGUCAUCAAGUAUGUAAACAACUGUCCGUCGAAUUAUCUCAUUUGAAUCAGUUUGUUUGAUUA